ACUAGUGUAGUCUAGUGGUAGAAUUCCCUGCCUUUAUCAUGAGUUACUGGGGAGACCCAAGUUCGAUUCGUGGCGCCGGAC